rnacentral:rRNA from 1 species
UCGAACGCGAAAGCCCCGCAAGGGGCAAGUAGAGUGGCAAACGGGUGAGUAACACGUGGGUGACCUGCCUUCGAGCGGGGGAUAACGUCCCGAAAGGGACGCUAAUACCGCAUGACAUCCUGCCUUUGAAGAGGUGGAGAUCAAAGCUGGGGAUCGCAAGACCUAGCACUCGAAGAGGGGCCCGCGCCUGAUUAGCUAGUUGGUGGGGUAAUGGCUCACCAAGGCGACGAUCAGUAGCCGGCCUGAGAGGGCGGACGGCCACACUGGGACUGAGACACGGCCCAGACUCCUACGGGAGGCAGCAGUGGGGAAUUGUUCGCAAUGGGCGCAAGCCUGACGACGCAACGCCGCGUGGAGGACGAAGACCUUCGGGUCGUAAACUCCUUUCGAUCGAGACGAAUGGCUUCCGGGUGAACAAUCCGGAGGAAUGACGGUACCGAGAGAAGAAGCCCCGGCUAACUCCGUGCCAGCAGCCGCGGUAAUACGGGGGGGGCAAGCGUUGUUCGGAAUUACUGGGCGUAAAGGGCUCGUAGGUGGCCAACUAAGUCAGACGUGAAAUCCCUCGGCUUAACCGGGGAACUGCGUCUGAUACUGGAUGGCUUGAGAUUGGGAGAGGGAUGCGGAAUUCCAGGUGUAGCGGUGAAAUGCGUAGAUAUCUGGAGGAACACCGGUGGCGAAGGCGGCAUCCUGGACCAACACUGACACUGAGGAGCGAAAGCCAGGGGA